GAUGAACGCUAGCUACAGGCUUAACACAUGCAAGUCGAGGGGUAACGAGAGGAAAGCUUGCUUUCCUUGUCGACGACCGGCGCACGGGUGAGUAACGCGUAUCCAACCUGCCCCCAACUAGGGAAUAACCUUGCGAAAGUAAGACUAAUACCCUAUAAUUUCCUCAGAUGUCAUCUGACGAGGAAUAAAGAUUUAUCGGUUGUGGAUGGGGAUGGGUCUGAUUAGCUUGUUGGCGGGGUAACGGCCCACCAAGGCAACGAUCAGUAGGGGUUCUGGGAGGAAGGUCCCCCACAUUGGAACGGGGACACGGUCCAAACUGCUACGGGAGGCAGCAGUGAGGAAUAUUGGUCAAUGGGCGGAAGCCUGAACCAGCCAAGUAGCGUGCAGGAUGACGGCCCUAUGGGUUGUAAACUGCUUUUAUACAGGAAUAAAGUUAGCCACGUGUGGUUAUUUGUAGGUACUGUAUGAAUAAGGACCGGCUAAUUCCGUGCCAGCCGCCGCCGUAA
rnacentral:rRNA from 1 species